rnacentral:tRNA from 1 species
GCGGGCAUGGUAUAAUGGUAGCACGUCAGCUUCCCAAGCUGAAGACGAGGGUUCGAUUCCCUUUGCCCGCACCA